rnacentral:rRNA from 1 species
AUACGGAGGAUCCGAGCGUUAUCCGGAUUUAUUGGGUUUAAAGGGAGCGUAGGUGGAUUGUUAAGUCAGUUGUGAAAGUUUGCGGCUCAACCGUAAAAUUGCAGUUGAAACUGGCAGUCUUGAGUACAGUAGAGGUGGGCGGAAUUCGUGGUGUAGCGGUGAAAUGCUUAGAUAUCACGAAGAACUCCGAUUGCGAAGGCAGCUCACUAGACUGUUACUGACACUGAGGCUCGAAAGUGUGGGUAUCAAACAGGAUUAGAUACCCUGGUAGUCCACACAGUAAACGAUGAAUACUCGCUGUUUGCGAUAUACGGCAAGCGGCCAAGCGAAAGCAUUAAGUAUUCCACCUGGGGAGUACGCCGGCAACGGUGAAACUCAAAGGAAUUGACGGGG